rnacentral:misc_RNA from 1 species
AACCAUAGAAACCUGCGGAGUACCUGCGGAAGGAUCAUUACCGAGUUAUACAACUCAUCAACCCCUGUGAACUUACCUACAACGUUGCUUCGGCGGGAACAGACGGCCCCGUAAAACGGGCCGCCCCCGCCAGAGGACCCCUAACUCUGUUUCUAUAAUGUUUUUCUGAGUAAACAAGCAAAUAAAUUAAAACUUUCAACAAUGGAUCU